rnacentral:rRNA from 1 species
UACGUAGGGUGCAAGCGUUGUCCGGAAUUAUUGGGCGUAAAGAGCUCGUAGGCGGCUUGUCGCGUCGUCCGUGAAAACCUGCAGCUCAACUGCGGGCUUGCGGUCGAUACGGGCAGGCUAGAGUUCGGUAGGGGAGACUGGAAUUCCUGGUGUAGCGGUGAAAUGCGCAGAUAUCAGGAGGAACACCGGUGGCGAAGGCGGGUCUCUGGGCCGAUACUGACGCUGAGGAGCGAAAGCGUGGGGAGCGAACAGG